UCUCCGUUGGCGAACCAGCGGAGGGAUCAUUACCGAGUUUACAACUCCCAAACCCCUGUGAACAUACCAUUUGUUGCCCCGGCGGUGCCUGCUUCGGCAGCCCGCCAGAGGACCCAAACCCUUGAUUUUAUACAGUAUCUUCUGAGUAAAUGAUUAAAUAAAUCAAAACUUUCAACAACGGAUCUCUUGGUUCUG
rnacentral:misc_RNA from 1 species